GGAACAAUCAUGUUUCGGGACAAAAUAAGAAGGAAGUUGGUCUGCCAUCUUCAAAGUCCUCAGGUCCCUCGAGCCUGGGAACUUGAAUUUAAUUUCACCUUACGAUCAAAAUGGAGGCUGAAAACAAAAUGGCAGUAAUCAGGAGAAGUGUCAUUUGUUUGACCCUAACACCAGGCCCUGCCUGCUGACAGCAAAGGCAGGAAGAAGACAUCCAGAGAUCACGCCCACCACAUGGCCUGCCC
rnacentral:lncRNA from 1 species